AGCGAACGCUGGCGGCAGGCCUAACACAUGCAAGUCGAACGGGCUCUUCGGAGCUAGUGGCGGACGGGUGAGUAACACGUGGGAACGUGCCUUUAGGUUCGGAAUAAGCCCGGGAAACUGGGUCUAAUACCGAAUGUGCCCUUCGGGGGAAAGAUUUAUCGCCUUUAGAGCGGCCCGCGUCUGAUUAGCUUGUUGGUGAGGUAAUGGCUCACCAAGGCGACGAUCAGUAGCUGGUCUGAGAGGAUGACCAGCCACAUUGGGACUGAGACACGGCCCAAACUCCUACGGGAGGCAGCAGUGGGGAAUCUUGCGCAAUGGGCGAAAGCCUGACGCAGCCAUGCCGCGUGGAUGAUGAAGGUCUUAGGAUUGUAAAAUCCUUUCACCGGUGAAGAUAAUGACUGUAGCCGGAGAAGAAGCCCCGGCUAACUUCGUGCCAGCCGCCGCCGUAACAC
rnacentral:rRNA from 1 species